rnacentral:lncRNA from 1 species
GCCUUGCUUGUGGCCGGAUUUUAUGUACUCUACGUAGCCGGAGAUUUGCCAGUUUGGUAUGGCAUUUGGGUGUGUUACUACUGUGCCUUUCAUUUGUGACCGCUUUGGACCGUACUCAAAGUUACCGUUUGGUAAUAAUCCUGAAAGUUCAUGCAAGUAAUUCAAUUAGUUUAAUGUAUGUAUGUUAAUCAAUCAAAUAUAAGUAUUUAAACAAGAAGCAAAUUAAUCCGAUAUGUUUUUUUGCUUCAAAUCUAAUUCAUCGCCGUUGCCAUGGUGUCAUCACAUGUUCUGUGCACGAUUAAAUAUCGAAAAAAAAAGGCCAGGGUUAUAUAAUUAAUAUGCUUUCUAAAAUUAGUAAAUGACAAAAGUGACAUG